rnacentral:misc_RNA from 1 species
CUUGAAAUUUGGCAGAAAGGCUCCUUAUAAGGCGUAGACAUCCGUUAAGAACGGGUUUUACGAAAUUCGACCCCUAAGGGGAUAAAACGGGGGUUGGAAGUUUGUAUGAAAGUCCUAUGUUUAUGAAGUAAGAGACUUGAAAUUUAAAAUUUAUGCUCUAUAGAUGGUGAGAAGGUGUCCAAAUAAUGUAUCUUUAAGAAUCAACUCCUUUUCGGGGUUAAAACGGGGGAUCGUAGGUUGACGCACUGAUCACGAAAUCUCCGAAACUAUAACACCUACAAACUUAAAAUUUAGCAGGUAGGCUCCUAAUA